rnacentral:rRNA from 1 species
AGUCGAGCGGACAGAUGGGAGCUUGCUCCCUGAUGUUAGCGGCGGACCCGUGAGUAACACGUGGGUAACCUGCCUGUAAGACUGGGAUAACUCCGGGAAACCGGGGCUAAUACCGGAUACUUGUUUGAACCGCAUGGUUCAAACAUAAAAGGUGGCUUCGGCUACCACUUACAGAUGGACCCGCGGCGCAUUAGCUAGUUGGUGAGGUAAUGGCUCACCAAGGCAACGAUGCGUAGCCGACCUGAGAGGGUGAUCGGCCACACUGGGACUGAGACACGGCCCAGACUCCUACGGGAGGCAGCAGUAGGGAAUCUUCCGCAAUGGACGAAAGUCUGACGGAGCAACGCCGCGUGAGUGAUGAAGGUUUUCGGAUCGUAAAGCUCUGUUGUUAGGGAAGAACAAGUGCCGUUCAAAUAGGGCGGCACCUUGACGGUACCUAACCAGAAAGCCACGGCUAACUACGUGCCAGCAGCCGCGGUAAUACGUAGGUGGCAAGCGUUGUCCGGAAUUAUUGGGCGUAAAGGGCUCGCAGGCGGUUUCUUAAGUCUGAUGUGAAAGCCCCCGGCUCAACCGGGGAGGGUCAUUGGAAA